CAGCAUGGUCUUAGCUUGCUAAGGCUGAUGGCGACCGGCGCACGGGUGAGUAACACGUAUCCAACCUGCCGUCUACUCUUGGCCAGCCUUCUGAAAGGAAGAUUAAUACAGGAUGGGAUCAUGAGUCCACAUGUCCGCAUGAUUAAAGGUAUUUUCCGGUAGACGAUGGGGAUGCGUUCCAUUAGAUAGUAGGCGGGGUAACGGCCCACCUAGUCAACGAUGGAUAGGGGUUCUGAGAGGAAGGUCCCCCACAUUGGAACUGAGACACGGUCCAAACUCCUACGGGAGGCAGCAGUGAGGAAUAUUGGUCAAUGGGCGAUGGCCUGAACCAGCCAAGUAGCGUGAAGGAUGACUGCCCUAUGGGUUGUAAACUUCUUUUAUAAAGGAAUAAAGUCGGGUAUGCAUACCCGUUUGCAUGUACUUUAUGAAUAAGGAUCGGCUAACUCCGUGCCAGCAGCCGCGGUAAUACGGAGGAUCCGAGCGUUAUCCGGAUUUAUUGGGUUUAAAGGGAGCGUAGAUGGAUGUUUAAGUCAGUUGUGAAAGUUUGCGGCUCAACCGUAAAAUUGCAGUUGAUACUGGAUGUCUUGAGUGCAGUUGAGGCAGGCGGAAUUCGUGGUGUAGCGGUGAAAUGCUUAGAUAUCACGAAGAACUCCGAUUGCGAAGGCAGCCUGCUAAG
rnacentral:rRNA from 1 species